UUAGCAUUAAAAAAGCAUCAGAAUACAGAAGUCUGAGAGGACAAACUUUGGAAACUGAAAUACUUUCCAGAGUAACUGGAAAAUCCGUCGGGUGCCGAGAAGAAAACCAGUGUAAGUUACGUGCAGAAUCAGCGAGGCUGGAAGAGCUGAGCAGAGCCUGGAAAGGAGUCUCAGAGGACUGCGAGACAUCGGCAGGUGGCAGCAUCGUCCCAGCAUGUGCACUAGCACAAUCACUGGAUGCAUUCCUUGUAGAAGAAGGUGCUUGCAUGUUAUGCCAAGAGGGAUCCCAGCUUGUAGAGAUUUCCACAUUACUGCAAGGAACUGUAGUAAUUAAUCCAGCAGAUGAGGGCUAUGCAAGAGAAGUGAUGGAAUCCUCUUGAUUUUAUGCUUGUCCAUCAACAUUUGAUGAGUCAUAGGAAGACCUAAGAUGGUGAACACAGAUGGGUUUCUUUGUCAAGGUGCAACAGAUGCUGUCCACAGGAAACUGAAACGCUGUGUCUGUCUCACAUUGUAGUCAGGCAUACAAGCAAUCUAAUCAAUUUGCCAUCACAUGCUUUUCCUUACAUUCUUUCCAAGGGCAAAAUGACUAACAUUACAUAAUGAUUGUGUCUUUCACAUUUUAAUGACAUCAUAAAAUUUCUUGUUCAAUACAAAGGAUCACUUUACAAUGAGCUUAUCAAAGGAUGAAAAAUAUUAAAUGAAAAAUUAUUAGGCUUACUCUUCUGUAUAAAUAUUGCUUUGACAGUAUUAUACAUAUUCUGUUUGCCAAAGAAUGUAUUAGAUGAUAACUAGCAUAGAAUUCCUAAAUAUCAUCAAGCUUUCAUCUUUGUUAAUACUGUAGAAAUCCGGAAAGAUCUUGUCCCAGCUUUGUAAGUCCAUGUUAAGUGCUAUAAGUUUUUAUAAAUCAGAACUGUACAGUCACCCUAAACCCCCAUAAUUUCUUGUCUUAGACAUUAACAUUUCACUGAUAAUACUCUUUUCAUAAAUCUUGGCAUUGCUGUUAAAUUAUUCAUAUGGUGUUAUAUGAAAACACAUGACAAUUUUUUAAAAUAUAUUCGUCAAGCAUCUUGCAAUCAGCUAAAAUGCUCUCUCCUGGUUAUUUUUCUGAAUCUUGCCAUCUGAAUGCUCUGAAUAAAUUUUAUUUUAUUCAAUAAGUUUCA
rnacentral:lncRNA from 14 species